CUAAGUUCCUUGGAACAGGACGUCAUAGAGGGUGAGAAUCCCGUAUGUGACUGGCUGCCUCCGCCCAUGUGAAGCUCUUUCGACGAGUCGAGUUGUUUGGGAAUGCAGCUCAAAAUGGGUGGUAAAUUUCAUCUAAAGCUAAAUAUUGGCCAGAGACCGAUAGCGCACAAGUAGAGUGAUCGAAAGAUGAAAAGCACUUUGGAAAGAGAGUUAAACAGUACGUGAAAUUGUUGAAAGGGAAGCGCUUGCAAUCAGACUUGCGCGCGGUCGAUCAUCCGGGGUUCUCCCCGGUGCACUCGGCCGCGCUCAGGCCAGCAUCGGUUUCGGUGGUGGGAUAAAGGCCUUGGGAAUGUAGCUCCUCUCGGGGAGUGUUAUAGCCCUCGGUGCAAUGCCGCCUAUCGGGACCGAGGACCGCGCUUCGGCUAGGAUGCUGGCGUAAUGGUUGCAAGCGACCCGUCUUGAAACACGGACCAAGGAGUCUAACAUUUAUGCGAGUGUUUGGGUGUUAAACCCAUACGCGUAAUGAAAGUGAACGGAGGUGAGAACCCUUAAGGGUGCAUCAUCGACCGAUCCUGAUGUCUUCGGAUGGAUUUGAGUAAGAGCAUAACUGUUGGGACCCGAAAGAUGGUGAACUAUGCCUGAAUAGGGGAAGCCAGAGGAAA
rnacentral:rRNA from 1 species